CACAUAUGGUUUUUUUUCUGCUCAGAACAUAUAAUUUUUUUCUCUGCUCAGAUGAACGCUGGAGGCAGAGCAUAACACUAUGCAAGUCUAGCGGAUGACGGGAGCUUGCUACCUGAUGUAGCGGCGGACAGGUGAAUAAUGCCUAGGAAUCUGCCUGGUAUAAGCGGAUAAAAUCCGAAAGAAACGCUAAUACUCCUUACGUCGCACGGGAGAAAGCAGAGGACCUUCGGGCCGUGCGCUAUCAGAUGAGCUUAGGUGCGAUAAGCUAGUUGGUGAGGUAAUGGCUCACCAAGCGGACGAUCAGUAACUGCUCUGAGAGGAUGUUCAGUCACACGGGAACUGAGACACGGUCCAGAUUCUUACGGGAGGCACCAUUGGGGAUUAUUGGACAAUGGGGAAAAUCCGAAUCCAGCCAUGCCGCGUGUGUGAAGAAGGUUUUGGGUUUGUAAAGCACUUUAAAUUGGGAGGAAGGGCAUUACCGUAAUACGUUACUCUUUGGACGUUCCCGACAGAAUAAGCACGGGCUAAUUUGGUGCCACCAGCCGCGUUAAUACGAAGGGUCCAAGCUUUUAUGGAAAUUAUUGGGCGUAAAGCGCGGCUAGGUGCUUCAGUAAUUUGGAUGUGAAAUCCCCGGGUUCAACCUGGGAACUGCAUCCAAAACUGGUGAGCUGGAGUUCGGUAGAGGGUGGUGGAAUUUCCUGUGUAGCGGUGAAAUGGGUAGAUAUAGGAAGGACCCCCAGUGGGGAAGGGGAUCUCUUGGAUUGAUACUGACAUGGAGGUGGGAAAGCGUGGGGAGCAACCAGGAUUAGAUACCCUGUUAUUCCACCCGGUAAAGGAUGUCAAUUAGCCGUUAGAAUCUCUGAGAUUCAGUGGCGCAGCUAACGCAUAACUGUCCGCCUGGAGACGUCACUGG
rnacentral:rRNA from 1 species